AUCUCAACUCCUCCCAUUGAUCUGUUAACACAUUAAAUAAUCAUGUAUCACUAUUUUUAGUAAAAUGUUUAGCACAUAAAAUGAAGAAUAUACCACCAAACAGAAUAAAUAUUAAGCUAACAGGUCUAAAGUAAUGGAAAGAAAAACAUUUUCUGUAGUCUUAGGUAACAUUUUGAGUUCCACUUUACUUUCAUCCUUUAAAGAAAAAAAAAGAAUGUUAACCCAUUCUUAUUUUAUACUUGGAGAAAAAGACCAAAUUCUGAAAGAGAAUCCACACAUGUCAACAACUCUUCUAGCCCCUCCCAUUUCUUUUGAAGCCCCUCCCACCUCUACCUCAUCUCAGUGACUCAU
rnacentral:lncRNA from 1 species